GGGAGAACGAGUGAAAGGGAGAAGGAGAGAGGAGGAGAAGGGGACAAGGAGAGAAGGGGAAAAGGAGAGAAGGGGAGAAGGGUGAAAGAAAGAGGAGGAGAAGGGGAGAAGGAGAGAAGGGGAGAAGGGGAGAAAGAAAGAGGAGGAGAAGGGGAGAAGGAGAGAGGAGGAGAAGGAGAGAGGACAUUCAUACAGAUUCUCCUGAUUGCCACUCGGUCACUCCUCAGCAACGGCCAGGCUCUCUGACAAUUACAGCUCCUCUCUCCAAUACCGCUGGUUUCCAAAGCACAAAGGAACAAUGUGCGUGUGCGUGCGUGUGCGUGCGUGUGUAUGUGUGUGUGUGUGUCUGUGUGUGUGUGUGUCCAUCACCAGACACCCGAGCACACCAACUCCAUUGGCACCCAUAACUACACUUGCUUCUCAACACCAAGUGGCCAUGACUGGCAGGUAAUGACUAGCAGGUAAUGACUGGCAGGUAAUGACUGGCAGGUAAUGACUGGCAGGUAAUGACUGGCAGGUAAUGACUGGCAGGUAAUGACUGGCAGGUAAUGACUGACAGGUAAUGACUAGCAGGUAAUGACUGACAGGUAAUGACUGACCGGUAAAGACUGGCAGGUAAUGACUAACAGGUAAAGACUAACAGGUAAUGACUAGCAGGUAAUGACUGACAGGUAAUGACUAGCAGGUAAUGACUGACAGGUAAUGACUAGCAGGUAAUGACUGGCAGGUAAUGACUAGCAGGUAAUGACUGACAGGUAGUGACUAACAGGUAAAGACUGGCAGGUAAUGACUAGCAGGUAAUGACUAGCAGGUAAUGACUAGCAGGUAAUGACUGACAGGUAAAGACUGGCAGGUAAUGACUGACAGGUAAAGACUGGCAGGUAAUGACUAGCAGCGGUUAGCAGCCAUAA
rnacentral:lncRNA from 1 species